AAGGAAACUGGUGAUGAAACCCGCAACUUAUCACACAUGGAGCAGCGCAGGGAGUUAAAACCAUGUGGUAUGGAACCAUGUGGAAGGGGUGAAGUCUUUUGGGCAGAAAGACGUUUGGGAGACCUUUAUGAAGAGAGCUAGGCAAAAACAGGAGUUAGGCUUGCUUCCCGGGACUCCUGUUGGAACUUCACUUAUGAUGCUUAUGCCGGGUGUCUUGGAGUCAUGGAAAGUGUGCCAAUGCAGAGUUUAAAGCUGAAAAUUCAGCGAUGAUACCUGAGUUUUGGCUCACGGAAUGUGGCCAAAGUGCAACUGGCGCUUUACUUGAUUACAUUGCUCAAAACCAUAUUGCGGCUCCCCUUCUUGCUAAUCAAGCUGCUUCUGAAAGAUUUCUUGUGCUUCAAAUUUUGUUGAUCGAAAGCGGAGUAAGGAGCCCAUCUUUCAUGGAAUCAACUACAAUGAUGCACGACUGGAUCGAAUUGAAGAUCAAAUAUAUUUUGGCGAGGAAGGACAAAUGUUAAUUAGGUUUCAUUUUAAUUAGGCUUCAUCUUUGUUGCAGUCAGUUGAUUUCAGAAAGUAUUACAUUCAGAUUAGUUGAAGAUAGACAAAAGCCUGAAUUCUUAUUAGCUGGUGGUUGAGCCAUACAAACGUUGUUCUAAUUUCUACAAGGCAAGUCGAGAUUGACUUUAAAAACUAAGGAUUAUGCAGCCAUAAUCUGACAUUAAAUUAAUUGAAUUAGAGAAUUGGAGGCCGGAGAAGUCGGUUGCACAGGGCAAAAAAGAAACAUAAUUGGCUCAUAGUUUGGGGAAAUAUGACGGGCGAGCAGGUGUGUUGGGCGCUUGUCAAUGCGAGGCGUCACUGAUCAACAUACUAACACCCUACUUUAGACCUGGCGUAUCCAACUAGAUGUGCAUGCUCAACAACCUCAAAGAAUCUGUUGGAGACACAUUCGUGCAUACCGGCGAUGGCUCAUGCGUCCUUUCACUUAAUUAGAAUUUUCUGCUUAAUGAUACGGCUGCUGUUAGUUAUUUUUGGAUUCGAAUUUAAUUUGUGUAGAAUUCAUUAAUGCACAAUAUGACGAGAUUAACUUGUUGUUUCAGUUCAGUUCGUAGGCGUAGCUUUCUCAUUUGGUAUCCAUAUGGUGACUUUUUGAUAGUUGUGAUGUUACCACUUCUACAUUUAGUAUGUCGUAUAUAAUCUAUCUAUAUGAUAAUGGUUGUCAUCUUGAUUCUUGGAUCCAAAUCAAACGACACAUGUGACAACCGUGGCAGCCUCGGCCCGUGGUGGCCAAAGGAGCGCUCAACAUGGAGGCAUGGAGGUGAGGCAGGAGAGGUCGUGGUCAGACUGGUACUGCACUGAGUGUAGAGGAGUUUGGUGUAUACGGUAAUUCUUCCUACGUUGUUGUUAUUGCUUGAUGGUGAAUCUAAAAGGAUGGAGAAGUAAACCCUAAAAAUUUGCAUGUGGAUGUGGAAGGUUGGGUUUGUGAGCUAGGUGUGCUAUUGAUGUCAGUGGCGAAGUUGGAUCAGGAAAGAAGAAGAACAUGAGUGAUUUAACGGUGAAUAAGAAAUCAAUAAUGCUGCUUGAUGUGCAUGAUGAUGUUCAUAUGAUUGAUGUUGAGCCUAUACAAUAUGUAUCGCACCCGUUGCAACGCACGGGCAAAUUGAAUCUAUUGUGCUAACUUUUAUGCCAUGUUAUUAUAAGUAUUUAUGCCAUCUUCUUCUUUAGAAAACAGGUUAGUAGUAAUUCUCUUUGUCGCCUUUCUUAUUACAUGGACUCAACUAACAAUGUGGCAAUAGGUUCUAUCACUCGGGUA